CGGGGAAUCUUGCACAAUGGGGGAAACCCUGAUGCAGCGACGCCGCGUGAGCGAUGAAGCCCUUCGGGGUGUAAAGCUCUUUCGGCAGGAACGAUAAUGACGGUACCUGCAGAAGAAGCUGCGGCUAACUACGUGCCAGCAGCCGCGGUAAUACGUAGGCAGCAAGCGUUGUUCGGAGUUACUGGGCGUAAAGAGUGCGUAGGCGGUUCUCUAAGUUCGGUGUGAAAUCUCCCGGCUCAACUGGGAGGGUGCGCCGGAAACUGGAGGGCUUGAGUAUGGGAGAGGAAAGCGGAAUUCCUGGUGUAGCGGUGAAAUGCGUAGAUAUCAGGAGGAACACCUGUGGUGGAGACGGCUUUCUGGACCAUGACUGACGCUGAGGCACGAAAGCGUGGGGAGCAAACAG
rnacentral:rRNA from 1 species